rnacentral:tRNA from 1 species
GCGCGCGUAGCUCAGUGGCAGUAGCAGGGUCCUUAUAAGGCCAAGGUCGCAGGUUCGAUCCCUGCCGCGCGCA